rnacentral:rRNA from 1 species
UGGGGAUAACAGGCUUAUCUCCCCCAAGAGUCCACAUCGACGGGGAGGUUUGGCACCUCGAUGUCGGCUCAUCGCAUCCUGGGGCUGAAGUAGGUCCCAAGGGUUGGGCUGUUCGCCCAUUAAAGCGGUACGCGAGCUGGGUUCAGAACGUCGUGAGACAGUUCGGUCCCUAUCUGUCGCGGGCGUAGGAAAUUUGAGAGGGGCUGUCCUUAGUACGAGAGGACCGGGAUGGACGCACCGCUGGUGUACCAGUUGUUCCGCCAGGAGCAUCGCUGGGUAGCCAAGUGCGGGAGGGAUAAGCGCUGAAAGCAUCUAAGCGCGAAGCCCGCCUCAAGAUGAGAUUUCCCAGUUUGUAAGACCCCUUGGAGAACACGAGGUUGAUAGGCUCGGGGUGUAAGCUCAGUAAUGGGUGUAGCUGACGAGUACUAAUCGGUCGAGGGCUUAUCCUA